UACGGAGGGAGCUAGCGUUGUUCGGAAUUACUGGGCGUAAAGCGCACGUAGGCGGCUUUGUAAGUUAGAGGUGAAAGCCCGGAGCUCAACUCCGGAAUUGCCUUUAAGACUGCAUCGCUUGAAUCCGGGAGAGGUGAGUGGAAUUCCGAGUGUAGAGGUGAAAUUCGUAGAUAUUCGGAAGAACACCAGUGGCGAAGGCGGCUCACUGGACCGGUAUUGACGCUGAGGUGCGAAAGCGUGGGGAGCAAACGGG
rnacentral:rRNA from 1 species